GGCGGGGUGUAAUGGAUAACACAUCAGUCCAGUAUACAGAAGAUGCUGGUUCGCUCCCAGCCGUCG
rnacentral:tRNA from 1 species